CCGCGAAUCGCCCUUCGGGGUGCAGCAGGCGCGAAAACUUUACAAUGCCGGCAACGGCGAUAAGGGAACCUCGAGUGCCAGGUUACAAAUCUGGCUGUCGUGAUGCCUAAAAAGCAUUGCAUAGCAAGGGCCGGGCAAGACCGGUGCCAGCCGCCGCGGUAACACCGGCGGCUCGAGUGGUAACCGUUAUUAUUGGGUCUAAAGGGUCUGUAGCCGGCCGGAUAAGUCUCUUGGGAAAUCUGGCAGCUUAACUGUCAGGCUUUCAGGAGAUACUGUCUGGCUCGAGGCCGGGAGAGGUGAGAGGUACUUCAGGGGUAGGGGUGAAAUCUUGUAAUCCUUGAAGGACCACCAGUGGCGAAGGCGUCUCACCAGAACGGACCUGACGGCAAGGGACGAAAGCUAGGGGCACGAACCGGAUUAGAUACCCGGGUAGUCCUAGCCGUAAACGAUACUCGCUAGGUGUCGGCCACGGUGCGACCGUGGUCGGUGCCGUAGGGAAGCCGUGAAGCGAGCCACCUGGGAAGUACGGCCGCAAGGCUGAAACUUAAAGGAAUUGGCGGGGGAGCAC
rnacentral:rRNA from 1 species